rnacentral:rRNA from 1 species
UGGGGAAUCUUGGACAAUGGGGGCAACCCUGAUCCAGCCAUGCCGCGUGAGUGAUGAAGGCCUUAGGGUCGUAAAGCUCUUUCGCCUGUGAAGAUAAUGACGGUAGCAGGUAAAGAAACCCCGGCUAACUCCGUGCCAGCAGCCGCGGUAAUACGGAGGGGGUUAGCGUUGUUCGGAAUUACUGGGCGUAAAGCGCACGUAGGCGGACCAGAAAGUUGGGGGUGAAAUCCCGGGGGCUCAACCCCGGAACUGCCUCCAAAACUAUUGGUCUAGAGUUCGAGAGAGGUGAGUGGAAUUCCAAGUGUAGAGGUGAAAUUCGUAGAUAUUUGGAGGAACACCAGUGGCGAAGGCGGCUCACUGGCUCGAUACUGACGCUGAGGUGCGAAAGUGUGGGGAGCAAAACAGGAUUAGAUACCCUGGUAGUCCACACCGUAAAACGAUGAAUGCCAGUCGUCGGGUAGCAUGCUAUUCGGUGACACACCUAACGGAUUAAGCAUUCCGGCCUGGGGAGUACGGUCGCAAGAUUAAAA